AUUGAACGCUGGCGGCAGGCCUAACACAUGCAAGUCGAGCGGAUGAAGGGAGCUUGCUCCUGGAUUCAGCGGCGGACGGGUGAGUAAUGCCUAGGAAUCUGCCUGGUAGUGGGGGAUAACGUCCGGAAACGGGCGCUAAUACCGCAUACGUCCUGAGGGAGAAAGUGGGGGAUCUUCGGACCUCACGCUAUCAGAUGAGCCUAGGUCGGAUUAGCUAGUUGGUGGGGUAAAGGCCUACCAAGGCGACGAUCCGUAACUGGUCUGAGAGGAUGAUCAGUCACACUGGAACUGAGACACGGUCCAGGCUCCUACGGGAGGCAGCAGUGGAGAAUAUUGGACAAUGGGCGAAAGCCUGAUCCAGCCAUGCCGCGUGUGUGAAGAAGGUCUUCGGAUUGUAAAGCACUUUAAGUUGGGAGGAAGGGCAGUAAGUUAAUACCUUGCUGUUUUGACGUUACCAACAGAAUAAGCACCGGCUAACUUCGUG
rnacentral:rRNA from 1 species